ACUUGCCAUUAAUCUUCAAGAUAUUGCUUGUUUUCUUUUGUUCUGGCCUUGAACUAUUUCACUUUGUAGCUGUUUCUAUAUCAUGUUAACUCGUCAUGGUUCAUAUUUCUGCAUGUUUUUUUUGUCUUUCUUAUUUGGCUCUCCGUUGUUUGUGUAGUUCGUGUAGAUGAUAUGAAUAAGUUCAUGCUUCAUAGCGAGGAAUUAAAGGUUAUUAUGACACUCAAUCCUAUCUAUACUCUCGUAGGAUGAUAAAUUUGAGAGGCUGUUCAAAUCGUAUGCUGAUAAAGUCAAGCUUGAUCUGAAAAAUAUGGUUUUCUGCUUUGAUGGGGAUAAAAUUAAUCCUACUGCAACUCCCAGUAGCCUCGGGAUGGAGGAUGAUGACAUCAUUGAAGUGCAUGUAAAACCAAGUUGUUGAGGUAAAAUCGUUGUCGUUGAAAUUCUAGCAAUGUUCUUCUGCUUCUCCUUCCCCUUCCUCCAUCCUGGGAACCUUUUCAUUGGUAAAAUGCCAAACUCAUUCAUGGGAAAAUGCAGCUCUCAAUUCCUUUUUACAUAGCUUCUAAAAUGAUACAAAGAAGAAAAAGGAGACAUAUCCAUACCAAUUAACCCAUCCCGGGAACCUUUUCAUUGGUAAAAUGCCAAACUCAUUCAUGGGAAAAUGCAGCUCUCAAUUCCUUUUUACAUAGCUUCUAAAAUGAUACAAAGAAGAAAAAG
rnacentral:lncRNA from 1 species